UUUCAAUUGAUAACAACAGUUUUGAAGCAUUUGUUAAUCUUAUGAUAAACAAAUGAAAUAACAAGCAAAUAAACUAGGAUAUAUUUUGGAGCUUGAAAAAAAAAAAAAACGAGGCCAAGCAAAUGAGAAUGCUCUAACUUUUUUUUUUUAGCAAGGUCAGAACUUUCAUUAAUUAAAAUUAGGUUUUUAGAAUAGGAGAAUUUCGUAGAGCAGUUUUAGCUAAAGCAUCCGCCUCUAUAUUUUUCUUUCUCGGUAUAAAUCUAAAACAAAUUUCUUGAAAAGAAGCAGAGAUAAUCAAGAUAUUAUGUUGACUCAUGUGGAGUUCUUUCUAGUGAGUUUCCGAUUCAAUGGCUUCAAUCAAUUGAAUUAAGUCUGAAGCUACAAUCUUUUUUUUGAACCCUUGUGACGAUGCUUAUCUCAGGGCGUAAAGCAGCCAUCAGUGGUGAUCCGACAUGAGGCACUGAAGUGGAGUCGAAUAUCUUGAUACCCGAUAUAUAAUUUGAGAACUGACAGCCUAAUCCCACUUUACGAGAGAUCGCAUCCCAAGCCGCAUCGUUUGGAGUAUCAACACAUCGAAUCUUGGGAUGGGGAUACUCUCUUUAGGGCGAAUUUGUUUUGGCUCCUGGAUCGUUCCUUGGGCCUCUUGCCAUUCACGAGCUAGGUAUAACGCAGUUGAUACGGUUUCUCCCAUAGAGUCGUGACGUUUGGAAAAGAUCUGGUGGUUAAGCUUUGUCCAGAUCUUCCAGAGAAUCCAAGGGUGAAUGGGGCCUUGUACAGCUCCGGAAGGUGGCAAAGCGAUGGUGCCUUGGAGUAUUUCAAAACCCUCUCUAAUGGUAGUAGAAUGAUGCGGGUUCCAUGGUACUUUCAGAGGAGCGAGAUUCCAGACUUCUCUAGCGAAUCUGCUAGAGAAGAAGAGGUGUAGAGUGGACUCAAGGUUUCCAAAAAAAGGGCAGACCGCAUCUUUGUUCACAUUUCAUGCCCUCAAGUUUUCCUCCACCGGGUAUUUUCUGGGCAGUGGAAGAUGCUCUCAUAGUAACCAGAUUUUGUAGAGUAGAUACCAAAUAUUGUUGGUAGCCAGGAGAUGUCAGGUAUGUGGGUUUUUGUAUCUUUCGGGAGAGGGCCCAUUGGUAUCAAUGGGGAGGAUUCCCCUUCAACCAUGAGAAGUGGAAGCAGGAGCUACACUGUCUAGGAAUGGGGUAGUAUGGCAGUAUUUACCUAAGAGAACCUUUGCCAAGAGACAAUCAGGGUUUGUCAAGAAUCUCCAGCUGAUCUUGACCAGGAGAGCGUCAUUAAAGCUCUAUAAGUCUCUUAAACCUAGCCCGCCUUCUCGUUUUGCUCUUGUUAGUUUGUUCCACGAUACCCAUCACAUUUUAUUUUUCUCCUCUCAGCCCACCAAAAACAUGUUAAGAUGGAUUGGAUACGCUUGUACAUGGAAUUAGGGAGCUUGAAGCAAGACAUGGAGUAGGUUGGCAUGGACGCUAGGACAGAUUUUAGCAGUGUUGUCUUUCUACCUGCCGAUAGAUAUCGAGAUGACCAGCUGCAUGCUUGUUGUCGGAUUCUAUCCACUAUGCUGUUGAAUAAGCCUUUCUUCUUUCUGCAAAUAAUUCAGGGGAGUUUUGAUCUUCUGACCUGAUGCUAGCUCAUAUUAAUGGAGGAUUUGCAUCAAAGUAAGUGGCUAAUUUUCGGGCUUGAUUUUCCAAAUUUUAUGCCUUUGAUUUUAUUUUAUCUUUGUGGUUUUUGGUGGAGAUCCAUCAACACUUCACUACACAAUAUAAAUAGGAAAGGGGACAAGGAUCCCCCUGCUGUAUACCUCUAUGGGGAGUAACCAAUCCUUUGGCUGCUCUAUAUAAGAGACGAUGAGUGAAGAUAAUGAAGGACUCCAUGUGUGAUGAGCACAAUAUCCGAGAUCGAUCUUUGGGGUACAAAGACGAAUUGGUUCUCUACAAAAAGUGUGUGCAAGAUGGGUUGUAGCCUCUUGGAUUCCAGAGGCACCUUGUCAGACUGAUGGAGAACAUGCUGAUUUGAUCUCGUCUGGCAAAUGUAUCGUUAUGAGUUCAGCAUUGGUUUUCUCUGUAAUGCGGGGGCUGAUGGCUUCUGCAACAGUUAUAGUAUUAGUGGUCUUUGAUGAUUUGAGGAGGUUCUAAUAGUAUUCAAUUAUGACAUCCAACAUUUUGUCUUCUUCAUAGAAAGUUUGGCCCUCAUCAUCCUCUAUCACUGUUGUUGAUAGUUUUCCUUCCUUUUGUUAUGGCAUGAAAGUAUCCAGUGUUUUUAUCAUCAAUGGUAAGCCAAAGUUGUCUGCUUCGCUGUUUCCAAAACUCUUGUUCAUCUUUGUACGCUUGUUUUAACUAAUCAUUGAUUAAUGAUAGUUGGAUUAAGUAAGAGUCUUGGCUAGACAUAGCUUAUUCCAGCUUUGUGACAUCCUGGUUUGCAAAUAGGUUUAAAAGAAUUGAUUUGGCCACCUAUGUCACCAAAGUGCACUUAUCUUUUUGAUCAAGAGUCUUAAGAGAACUCCAGAGUUAAGCGUGUUUGAGCUGGAGUAGUCUCAGGAUGGGUGACUUUCUGGGAAGUGACUGCCGGAACUGUGCAAGUGAAGACAAAACACAGGAAAAGAUCAUGUGAUGAUUUGUAGGGAUGGUAAAAAGUCUCUAAAACCUCCCGGACAUAUCAUACCGACCGUCGGAUAUGAAUGGGCUCACAGGCCUAGUGAAAGGACGUGAGGCCCGUUAAGAAAGGUUGGCCCAUGGACUGGGAGUGGACAUGGGGUCCACUGAGAGGUGGCAGUCGGGGCGUUACAAGUAGUAUCAUAGCAGAACCCAGACGAGUGUGGAGUCGAGUGGGGUCACCGUUGGGGGUGACGAUCUUGGUACGCAACGAAGACGUUGCGAUAUGUUAGUGGGGGUGAAUUGUGAUAUCCUGGUUUGCGGAGAGGUUUAAAAGAAUUGAUUUGGCCACCUAUUUCACCAAAGUGCAUUUAUGUUUUCGGUCAAGGAUCCAGAAGGAACUCCAAAGUUAAGCGUGUUUGAGAUGUAGUAGUUUCAGGAUGGGUGACCUUCCGGAAGUGACUGUCGGAACUAUGCGAGUGAGGAAAAAAC